rnacentral:misc_RNA from 1 species
CCCCCCUCUCAAGCCCCGGCUUUGUGUUACGCAGACGCCGGGCGCCUUGGAUCGUGGCCUCAUGUCGACUCCGAUCUGCGCGAGUCGAAGGCCGAAAGCGAACGAGAAGCGACCUCGAGGUCGCGCGGCUUGACCGGACCGAUUGUACGCCCCCUUCGGAGCCGGGACGCGCGCCUUGGACGGACGCUGCGAACGACGACGCACGGAUUCCUCGGAAUUCGA